UGACGCAGCACGCCGUGUGAGUGAUGAAGGCCUUCGGGUCGUAAACUCUGUCAAGUGGGAAGAACCUGUCCCGUGCCAAUACCACGGGACACUGACGGUACCACUGGAGGAAGCACCGGCUAACUCCGUGCCAGCAGCCGCGGUAAUACGGAGGGUGCAAGCGUUAUUCGGAAUUACUGGGCGUAAAGGGCGCGUAGGCGGCUCUUUAAGUCAGGCGUGAAAGCCCGGGGCUCAACCCCGGAAGUGCGUUUGAAACUAGGGAGCUUGAGUACGGGAGAGGGAAGUGGAAUUCCUGGUGUAGAGGUGAAAUUCGUAGAUAUCAGGAGGAACACCGGUGGCGAAGCGACUUCCUGGACCGAUACUGACGCUGAGGCGCGAAAGCGUGGGGAGCAAACAGGAUUAGAGACCCUGGUAGUCCACGCCGUAAACGAUGAACACUAGGUGUAGCGGGUAUUGACCCCUGCUGUGCCGUAGCUACGCAUUAAGUGUUCCGCUGGGACUACGGUCGCAGCUAA
rnacentral:rRNA from 1 species